GACGAACGCUGGCGGCGUGCUUAACACAUGCAAGUCGAACGGAAAGGCCCUGCUUUUGUGGGGUGCUCGAGUGGCGAACGGGUGAGUAACACGUGAGUAACCUUCCCUUUACUUUGUGAUAACUUCAGGAAACUGGUGCUACUACCUGAUAGGUGCUCCUGCUGCAUGGUGGGGGUUGGAAAGUUUCGGCGGUUGGGGAUGUACUCGCGGCUUAUCAGCUUGUUGGUGGGGUAGUGGCUUACCAAGGCUUUGACGGGUAGCCGGCCUGAGAGGGUGAACGGCCACAUUGGGACUGAGAUACGGCGCAGACUCCAACGGGAGGCAGCAGUGGGGAAUAUUGCACAAUGGGCGGAAGCCUGAUGCAGAAACGCCGCGUGCGGGAUGACGGCCUUCGGGUUGUAAACCGCUUUAGCCUGUGACGAAGCGUGAGUGACGGUAAUGGGUAAAGAAGCACCGGCUAACUACGUG
rnacentral:rRNA from 1 species